AACUUUCAACAACGGAUCUCUUGGUUCUGGCAUCGAUGAAGAACGCAGCGAAAUGCGAUAAGUAGUGUGAAUUGCAGAAUUCAGUGAAUCAUCGAAUCUUUGAACGCACAUUGCGCCCGUUGGCAUUCCAACGGGCAUGCCUGUUCGAGCGUCAUUGGCUUCUCCAGCACUGCUGGGUGCUGGGCGAGUGGGGCGCCGCGCGCGUCCCUCGCCUCAAAUGCAUUGGCCGCCCGCCGUCCCGGGAAGGAGCGCAGCACAGUCCGCGCGCCUCGCCGGGGGGCGGUGUCCACAAGUGGCUUCUACGGUUGACCUCGGAUCAGGUAGGGAUACCCGCUGAACUUAAGCAUAUCAAUAAGCGGAGGAAAAGAAACCAACCGGGAUUGCCUCAGUAACGGCGAGUGAAGCGGCAACAGCUCAAAUUUGAAAUCUGGCGCCUGCGGCGUCCGAGUUGUACUUUGCAGAGGGCGCUUUGGCGCUGGCCGCGGUCCAAGUGCCUUGGAACAGGCCGUCACAGAGGGUGAGAAUCCCGUCCGUGGCCGCCGGCCGGCGCCGUGUAAAGCCCCUUCGACGAGUCGAGUUGUUUGGGAAUGCAGCUCUAAAUGGGAGGUAAAUUUCUUCUAAAGCUAAAUACUGGCCAGAGACCGAUAGCGCACAAGUAGAGUGAUCGAAAGAUGAAAAGCACUUUGGAAAGAGAGUCAAACAGCACGUGAAAUUGUUGAAAGGGAAGCGCUGGCAGCCAGACGUGCCUGCGGUUGCUCAUCCGGGCUUCUGCCCGGUGCAUUCUUCCGCAGGCAGGCCAGCAUCGGUUUCGGCGGUGGGACAAAGGUCUCUGUCACGUACCUCCUCUCGGGGAGGCCUUAUAGGGGAGACGCCAUGCCACCAGCCGGGACCGAGGUCCGCGCAUCUGCCAGGAUGCUGGCGCAAUGGCUGUCAGCGGCCCGUCUUGAAACACGGACCAAGGAGUCUAACAUCUGUGCGAGUGUUUGGGUGGCAAGCCCAAGCGCGCAAUGAAAGUGAACGGAGGUGGGACCCCGCAAGGGCGCACCAUCGACCGAUCCUGAUGUCUUCGGAUGGAUUUGAGUACGAGCAUGGCUGUUGGGACCCGAAAGAUGGUGAACUAUGCUUGAAUAGGGUGAAGCCAGAGGAAACUCUGGUGGAGGCUCGCAGCGGUUCUGACGUGCAAAUCGAUCGUCAAAUUUGGGCAUAGGGGCGAAAGACUAAUCGAACUAUCUAGUAGCUGGUUCCUGC
rnacentral:misc_RNA from 1 species